GGUAGCCGUAGAUCACCCAGGGAUCGAGGGUGGGCUGCACCAGGCGAACGGUUUGCUGGGUGGCAUCGUACAACCCGCCCCAGGUGGUGGCUUUGGCGACGAGGAGCAGCGCCCCCGCCCCCAAAAACAGUAGGUGAUGACCGAGAAUCAUUCCUAAUUGGGCCGGAUUUUCCCA
rnacentral:antisense_RNA from 15 species